GACGAACGCUGGCGGCGUGCUUAACACAUGCAAGUCGAACGCUGAAGCUCAGCUUUUGUUGGGUGGAUGAGUGGCGAACGGGUGAGUAACACGUGAGUAACCUGCCCCCUUCUUUGGGAUAACGCCCGGAAACGGGUGCUAAUACUGGAUAUUCACUGGUCUUCGCAUGGGGGUUGGUGGAAAGGGUUUUUCUGGUGGGGGAUGGGCUCGCGGCCUAUCAGCUUGUUGGUGGGGUGAUGGCCUACCAAGGCUUUGACGGGUAGCCGGCCUGAGAGGGUGACCGGUCACAUUGGGACUGAGAUACGGCCCAGACUCCUACGGGAGGCAGCAGUGGGGAAUAUUGCACAAUGGGCGCAAGCCUGAUGCAGCGACGCCGCGUGAGGGAUGGAGGCCUUCGGGUUGUGAGCCUCUUUCGCUCAUGGUCAAGCCGCAACAAUGGUUGUGGUGAGGGUAGUGGGUAAAGAAGCGCCGGCUAACUACGUG
rnacentral:rRNA from 1 species